ACACCGGCAGCUCUAGAGGUAGCUGUUUUUAUUGGGCCUAAAGCGUUCGUAGCCGGUUUGAUAAGUCACUGGUGAAAUCCUGUAGCUUAACUGUGGGAAUUGCUGGUGAUACUGUUGAACUUGAGGUCGGGAGAGGUUAGCGGUACUCCCAGGGUAGAGGUGAAAUUCUGUAAUCCUGGGAGGACCACCUGUGGCGAAGGCGGCUAACUGGAACGAACCUGACGGUGAGGGACGAAAGCUAGGGGCGCGAACCGGAUUAGAUACCCGGGUAGUCCUAGCCGUAAACGAUGCGGACUUGGUGUUGGGAUGGCUUUGAGCCGCUCCGGUGCCGAAGGGAAGCUGUUAAGUCCGCCGCCUGGGAAGUACGGUCGCAAGACUGAAACUCAAAGGAAUUGGCGGGG
rnacentral:rRNA from 1 species